rnacentral:rRNA from 1 species
AACGAACGCUGGCGGCAUGCCUAACACAUGCAAGUCGAACGAGACCUUCGGGUCUAGUGGCGCACGGGUGCGUAACGCGUGGGAACCUGCCCUUAGGUUCGGAAUAACUCCCCGAAAGGGGUGCUAAUACCGGAUAAUGUCUUCGGACCAAAGAUUUAUCGCCUUUGGAUGGGCCCGCGUUGGAUUAGCUAAUUGGUAGGGUAAAAGCCUACCAAGGCGACGAUCCAUAGCUGGUCUGAGAGGAUGAUCAGCCACACUGGGACUGAGACACGGCCCAGACUCCUACGGGAGGCAGCAGUGGGGAAUAUUGGACAAUGGGCGAAAGCCUGAUCCAGCAAUGCCGCGUGAGUGAUGAAGGCCUUAGGGUUGUAAAGCUCUUUUACCCGGGAUGAUAAUGACAGUACCGGGAGAAUAAGCGCCGGCUAACUCCGUG